rnacentral:rRNA from 1 species
UAGGGAAUCUUCCACAAUGGACGAAAGUCUGAUGGAGCAACGCCGCGUGAGUGAAGAAGGGUAUCGGCUCGUAAAACUCUGUUGUUAAAGAAGAACAUAUCUGAGAGUAACUGUUCAGGUAUUGACGGUAUUUAACCAGAAAGCCACGGCUAACUACGUGCAAG